rnacentral:lncRNA from 1 species
UUUUUUUUUUUUUUUUUUUUUUGCACCAUAAAACCCAUGGAUGACAAAAUUCCCCAGGUUUUCUCUUUUUCCUGAGUUGCCAAUUAGCUGUUGGGCAGGUCUGUUUAAAGGUUUGAUGGGAGAAGGCUGGUUCAGGCUCUCAGGGGAAGGUCUAGGACAAGGAAGAUCACUUUCAACUCAUCACCCCAGACCCGCUAACCCUGUGCAGCCAAUGCAGCAGCCACCGGCCAUGUGUUGAACAUCAGCCAUAUGGCUGUGGUCCAAAUUCAGCUGUGCUGUGGUAUAAAAUACACACAAGAUUUUGAAGGCUUAGUACCAAAAGAAAGAAUGCCAAAUAGCUCAUUAAAAGUUAUUUAUGCUGAUUACAUGUUGAAAUAAUGUUUUGAAUAUACUGGGUUAAAUGACAUCUAUUAUUAAAAUCGAUUCCACCUGUUUUCUUUUUUCUGUUUUAAUGUGGCUACUAGAAAAGUUUUAAAUUCCAUGAGUAGCUGGCAUUAUACUUUUACCAGACAGCUUGCCCCAUGCAGUCAGGGGCUCACCCUGCCCUCCUGUAAGCCUUCCACAUCAUAGGCUCAGCCCACAAGGCUGAGAACUCCCUAAGCCUUCACAGCCCAGCCCCAUUCACUCUUUCCAGCCUCACCACACCCAAAUGACCCACUAUUACCACCACACCUGAGCCUCCCUGUGGGCUCUCAGCUCCACGCCUUUGCUGAUGGAACAUCUCUGCUGGAAUGCCCUUUUCCCUCGCACUGUCACCUGCCUGUGCAGUCUCUCAUCUUUAGACAACCAUCACACAUGGCCUUCACCAGCUCCUCCACGCAGAAACAACAGCUUCCUCCUCGGUGCUAUCUAUCUCAGGACUUGGUUUAUACCUUUACUGCAGCACUGACUGGCAGCUACUGCCUAGCUGGCUGGGCCUCUGACGUCUCCACUUCUUGGGGGACUGCAAAUGUGCCUUGCUGGUAAGAAUAUUCUCCUGGGCUGGCAUGAUGCCUUUUAUAUAACAGGUGCUCAACAAACAUCUGCUGGACUGAAUAUCAAAGCUGGAAUAUUUUAAGACAAGCAGUUCAUCUUAGGCAACUAACCAUUGAGUUAGAAUAGAAAAUUCUGUAAUAAUAAACUAGCUAGCUGCCAUUUAUAAAUACUUAUUUCAUUCCCACCACAAUCAUACAAGAUUGGUAUUUUUACCCCCAUUUAAAUGAUGAAACUGAGAUUCAGUAAAGUAUGCUGUUACCCAACAUCAAAGACUGCUGGGAACAAGCACAAUCUCAACUCCACUAUAAAACCUGCAAUAAGUACUCAUUAAGUAUUUAAUGAAUGACCUGCCGAAUGAGGAUUUGAACUCAGACCUGAUUCCAAAGUCCACCCAUUUGUGUGACCCCACAGUGCCUUCCAACGCCCCCACAAAUAAGAACAGCAGUUACUGCUUCCUGAUUGCUCAAUACCUAUCAAGCGACUGCACUAAAGUCCUCCACAAACACGCAAGCCUCACAGCAGACUUCAUCCCCAUUUUGCAGACAAGGGAACUGAGGCUUAGAGCAGGCCCUAGGGAGUUAGAAAGUCAAUAGUGCAGCUGGGAUUCCAAUCAAGCUUUUUCUGGCUCAGAAACUAUGUUCCUCCCACUCCACGCAGCUGCUUCUGCAGGGGACGCCAGGCUAUCCCCUACAAGGCAUGUGGACCAAUGGGACACAGAUCAAGAGUCCAUGCCUGGUUCCUGCUUGUCAGCUCUGGAAGCUGAGGACACAGGGAGGGUUGUGAGAGGAACACAGGCCCUCCGGGUGUGUCUCAUUUGGCAGCAGGUAAAGUCUGUUGCUUACAAUCAGGCUAACCCUGAUGCCUGGAAGGUGCCGCUACAUGCCGGCUGGGCAGUCGUUCUGGGUUAAAAGAUGCACCACAUCGUGCUUGAGUUUUCAGUGUGGGCCAGGCUGCUCUAAAGCCCCCCAGGAAAAGUGCAACUCUCUCCACCCACCCCUACACUGCCCAGGGUCAACAGCAUGGAGGGAGCCAAGGAUGUCACAGGCUGUUGAAGGGGUGCCUGCCGAGAACAGCUUGACCAGAUCUGGAGUCCAUGCUAAGUCCCUGUACACAGCCAAUUACAUCCCACUGUACAACCCACGUGAGACCAGUAACCAGGCCCAGACAUCCAACCACUAGACAUUCUCAAUGCUGUUCUCCUUUUCUAAAGUGUCAAAGCUCUCCUGUCUUCAGAAAAAACAGUUUAAGGUGCCCCCUAAGAAGUGGCUGCAUGUUUCUCCCACUUCAAAAUCAGGAACACAAAUGAGUAAACAACACAAGAAGGGGAUAGAUGGGGAAAGCUUCACCAUCUCUUCCUGUAGCUGUGUCAUUAUUACGACAUGAGGCAUCAGAAGGGCCAAACUGCUCUAUGCUUUAUGCUAUAAGCCCAGGGAAGCUGCCCUGGGUUCAGGGAGACAUAAAUUCUGCACUUGAGAGCAGCAGCUCUGCGGUUCAUCAAGUGCGCUUGCUUCAUUUUAUGUCCCUGGUAUUUAGCCAUAAUGGGCCUGUGAUCACUUCACUCCAGGCAGCUGCAGAGUGGGGGCAGGGGACAGACAGGCUGCCAGGAGAAUUGUGCAAGAUGGGACUCCUGACACCCGCAAAGCACCUGCUGAUAACAUAAGUGUCUGCCCCAGGAACAUAUACAUGAACCAAUAAUGACAGCCACACAGGUGCCAGCUCCACUGCUCCCUGCUGCUGACAGGCCACAGGGGUCAGGAAAGCUCUUGACCUGAAGGCCAGUGGGUGUAUGAGGGGAGGAGGGACCACAACAGUUACAGACAGAUAAAAGACACACACACACACACACACACUUCUCACACCAAUGGCAGAAAAAAGAAGAAAAUGUUAUUUGGCAGCA